rnacentral:rRNA from 1 species
AUUGAACGCUGGCGGCAGGCCUAACACAUGCAAGUCGAACGAGUGGCGGACGGGUGAGUAAUGUCUGGGAAUCUGGCUGAUGGAGGGGGAUAACUACGGGAAACGGUAGCUAAUACCGCAUACCAUCGGAUGAGCCCAAGUGGGAUUAGGUAGUUGGUGGGGUAAAGGCUCACCUAGGCGACGAUCCCUAGCUGGUCUGAGAGGAUGACCAGCCACACUGGGACUGAGACACGGUCCAGACUCCUACGGGAGGCAGCAGUGGGGAAUAUUGCACAAUGGGGGCAACCCUGACGCAGCCAUGCCGCGUGUAUGAAGAAGGCCUUCGGGUUGUAAAGUUCUUUCGGUGGCGAGGCGUUACCUGCAGAAGAAGCACCGGCUAACUCCGUGCCAGCAGCCGCGGUAAUAC